rnacentral:misc_RNA from 1 species
UCUCCGUUGGUGAACCAGCGGAGGGAUCAUUACAGGACUCGCAAGACUCCCUGAAACCACUGUGAACCUACCCAACGUUGCCUCGGCGGGCGCUCGGCCUCGCGCCGGGCGCCGGCCCGCCGGCGGCCCCCAACUCUGUCUCGCGUUGUCUCUCCGAGUCUACCAAAUGAGUCAAAACUUUCAACAACGGAUCUCUUGGUUCUGGCAUCGAUGAAGAACGCAGC